rnacentral:rRNA from 1 species
GACGAACGCUGGCGGCGUGCCUAAUACAUGCAAGUAGAACGCAGUAGCGAACGGGUGAGUAACGCGUAGGUAACCUGCCGCAUAGCGGGGGUUAACUAUUGGAAACGAUAGCUAAUACCGCCUACUGUGAGAUGGACCUGCGGUGGAUUAGGUAGUUGGUGAGGUAAAGGCUCACCAAGGCGACGGUACAUAGCCGGCCUGAGAGGGGGGUCGGCCACACUGGGAAUGGGGCACGGGCCAGAAUUCUACGGGAGGAAGAAGAGGGGAAUUUUGGAAAAGGGCGGAAGUCCUGACGAAGAAAGCCGCGGGAGGGAAUAAGGUUUUCGGGUCGGUAAGCUCUGUUGGGAGGGAAGCGGUAACUAACCAGAAAGCGACGGCUAACUACGUGCCAGCAGCCGCGGUAAUUC